rnacentral:tRNA from 1 species
GGAGUCAUGGCUCAGUGGUUUAGAGCAUGCGAUUGCAAAUCGCAAGGUCCUGUGUUCGAAUCACAGUGAUUCCU